rnacentral:rRNA from 1 species
AGAACGAACGCUGGCGGCAUGCCUAAUACAUGCAAGUCGAACGAACUCUUCGGAGUUAGUGGCGCACGGGUGCGUAACGCGUGGGAAUCUGCCCCUUGGUUCGGAAUAACAGUUGGAAACGACUGCUAAUACCGGAUGAUGACGAAAGUCCAAAGAUUUAUCGCCAAGGGAUGAGCCCGCGUAGGAUUAGCUAGUUGGUGAGGUAAAGGCUCACCAAGGCAACGACCCUUAGCUGGUCUGAGAGGAUGAUCAGCCACACUGGGACUGAGACACGGCCCAGACCUCCUACGGGAGCAGCAGUAGGGAAUAUUGGACAAGUGGG